rnacentral:rRNA from 1 species
UAGUCAUAUGCUUGUCUCAAAUAUUAAGCCAUGCAUGUCUCAGUACAAGCCUAAUUAAGGUGAAACCGCGAAAGGCUCAUUAAAUCAGUUAUGGUUCCUUAGAUCGUACCCACAAUUACUUGGAUAACUGUGGUAAUUCUAGAGCUAAUACAUGCAAACAGAGCUCCGACCGGAGACGGAAGGAGUGCUUUUAUUAGAUCAAAACCAAUCGGUGGCGGGCUUGCUCGUCAUCGUACAACUUGGUGACUCUGAAUAACUUUUCGCUGAUCGCACGGUCUCGCACUGGCGACGCAUCUUUCAAAUGUCUGCCUUAUCAACUGUCGAUGGUAGGUUCUGCGCCUACCAUGGUUGUAACGGGUAACGGGGAAUCAGGGUUCGAUUCCGGAGAGGGAGCCUGAGAAACGGCUACCACAUCCAAGGAAGGCAGCAGGCGCGCAAAUUACCCACUCCCAGCACGGGGAGGUAGUGACGAAAAAUAACGAUACGGGACUCAUCCGAGGCCCCGUAAUCGGAAUGAGAACACUCUAAACCCUUUAACGAGGAUCAAUUG